rnacentral:tRNA from 3 species
UGGAGCAGUUGGCAGCUCGUCGGGCUCAUAACCCGAAGGUCGCAGGUUCAAGUCCUGC